GUCAGUGGCACAGAGCUUCCUUAGCUGUUACACAAGACAAGGAGCAGCAUUUGGAGCAUCAUUUUCCUCCUGAAACCUGCAAGAUCAAAUGAGAGCAACAGUGCCAUAAAGAAAUGGGCUAGUUAUUUCCAGCUAGCGAGACCUGGGAGUAUUGUACACCAGAAGUAGGUUGAAAUGUGAGCAGCGAUAAGGCAGGGGACUGCACGAAGAGAAAGGAUAGCCUCCUGGCUGUUUGAAUGCUGACCUGGAGAACUGGAUUCUAUUGCUGCCUCUGCUAUGGAGUUCUUGCGUGGUGCUGGGCAAAUCACUUAAGCCACAUUUUUUAAAGAUGCUCACUAUCAGUGUGUUCUUUAUUUUCUGGGUGCCCAGCUUGAGACCCUGGCAUCUGAUGUGUGGCAGUGCUAAGUACUCACUGCUA